GCCGCCGCCGGCGCGGCUGCGGGCGUCGGCGCGCUGCUGGUGAGCUGGCACUACGGGCCGGUGCCGUUCGACACGGCUCCGGUGACCCC
rnacentral:tRNA from 1 species